rnacentral:rRNA from 1 species
GACGAACGCUGGCGGCGUGCCUAAUACAUGCAAGUCGAACGCAUUUUCUUUCACCGUAGCUUGCUACACCGAAAGAAAAUGAGUGGCGAACGGGUGAGUAACACGUGGGUAACCUGCCCAUCAGCGGGGGAUAACACUUGGAAACAGGUGCUAAUACCGCAUAAUUCCAUUUACCGCAUGGUAGAUGGAUGAAAGGCGCUUUUGCGUCACUGAUGGAUGGACCUGCGGUGCAUUAGCUAGUUGGUGGGGUAACGGCCUACCAAGGCUGCGAUGCAUAGCCGAACUGAGAGGGUGAUCGGCCACACUGGGACUGAGACACGGCCCAGACUCCUACGGGAGGCAGCAGUAGGGAAUCUUCGGCAAUGGACACAAGUCUGACCGAGCAACGCCGCGUGAGUGAAGAAGGAUUUCGGAUCGUAAAACUCGGUUGUUAGAGAAGAACAAGGAUGAGAGUGGAAAGUUCAGCGCUUGACGGUAUCUAACCAGAAAGCCACGGCUAACUACGUG